UACGGAAGGCAGCAGUGGGGAAUAUUGCACAAUGGGCGAAAGCCUGAUGCAGCUAUGCCGCGUGUAUGAAGAAGGCCUUAGGGUUGUAAAGUACUUUCAUCGGGGAGGAAAAAACAAAACUAAUAAUUUUAUUUCUUGACGUUACCCGAAAAAGAAGCACCGGCUAACUCCGUGCCAGCAGCCGCGGUAAUACGGAGGGUGCUAGCGUUAAUCAGAAUUACUGGGCGUAAAGAGCACGUAGGUGGUUUUUUUAAGUCAGAUGUGAAAUCCCUGGGCUUAACCUGGAACUGCAUUUUGAAACUGAAAUACUAGAGUAUCGUAGAGGGAGGUAGAAUUCUAGGUGUAGCGGUGAAAUGCGUAGAUAUCUGGAGGAAUACCUGUGGCGAAAGCGGCCUCCUAAACGAAUACUGACACUGAGGUGCGAAAGCGUGGGGAGCAAACGAGGGAUUAGAUACCCGU
rnacentral:rRNA from 1 species